GCUUUAACUAUAUGGACCUUUGUUGGCAAGGUGAUGUCUCUGCUUUUUAAGAUGCUGUCUAGGGUUCGGCAAAUGCAUGGACCAAAUACUGACAUCUUCUCUCUGAGGAAGGAUUCUAGGUUAAAUAAACAAAAGGGACAUCUUGGCUUCAAUAUCUCCUCUCUUGGUCAACAAUGAUGAAUCUUCCCAAUAUAGUGCUUGCUGAUUGAAAGCAAAUGAGCCUACACUCUAUAUCCCAGCCCACGUAUGUUUGCAGAAGUGACUAAUAUUUCUCCUAGAGUUGAAGACGAAAACCUUGAAGAACAGCUGGCGAGAGCAAGGGAUGAAGAAGGAAUGUUUUCUCAUACACUGGAUUUGGCGGUUCCUGCACAACUGAGCUUUGGCCACAUCCAACUGCCUCGUCCAUAAAGCGACAAAGGCUACCAGAUUUCAGAAUGAUAGCUGCAGUGGUUCUGUCACUAAGGCACCUAUGACACACACCCCAAAUCCAUGUGGAAAACAAAUAUGGUUUUUAAUUCCCCCCUCAAAUCAUUGUAAUUGGAGUGCCCUGGGAAAAUAAUUCACUGUGAUUGAAAGCUAGACCUGCGCAUGAAAAGGAAAUGUUCCCUCCUCUUUCCACAGCUUUCCUCUCAAACUCUGGACAUUUCUACAGUUAGCUUGGUUUAAUUUCUCUUGCGUGUGGGAUAUAAAGCUGUCAGUCAAGUCCAACAUUCUGAGAGGACUAACUGCCUCUAUGUGGCAGGCAGUUUUGUCAGUUGGUCGGUUGCCGCUAGGAGUGUUAAAUGGUAACUGCUCGGAUGCAGUCUUCUCAUGACUGACUACUAUCUAGCAUAUAGUUUGUCUGUUAUGUAACCUAAGCCUGCCUAAACCUAAACCUGACUAAGCCGCGGCAUGACUAAGCCGCUUCUGGCGAAUCAGAGCAGCGCACGGAAACGCCGUUUACCUUCCCGCCGGAGCGGUACCUAUUUAUCUACCUGCACUUUGACGUGCUUUUGAACUGCUAGGUUGGCAGGAGCAGGGACCGAGCAACAGGAGCUCACCCCGUUGCGGGGAUUUGAACUGACGACCUUCUGAUCAGCAAGCCCUAGGCUCUGUGGUUUAGACCACAGCGCCACCCGUGUCCCUGAUAGUAAAGUAGUUUAUGUUAAUAUGAUUCAGAUUCAUGUGUGUUUUCUUUAAGAGGGACAGAAAGGGAUUAUCAGCCAGGAAGGUAUAAUUAUUGACAGGACUCAAACAAGUUAGCAACCCGCUUGUCGCUGCAUAAACUCAAACGGGAUCAUUUAAACUCUGCUAAAUUAUAUAAACGUUUUCACAGUCCGCAGGGGGAGAGGGUCAGGAUGAACAGCCAUGGGGUGUGUUUUUUUUAGCAGCUGAGACCAUAGAGCCUCUUGGAAGCUGAGUGAGUCCCUGAUCUGCCUAGUGAUGCCUUGGACUAUCCAACUCAGAAGUGUGAGAACCUUCCCCAAAUCAUUCCAUUUCAUCUUGUCAUUUGGGGUGCACACAGAUCUAAUGCAGUGGAGGGAAGUUUCUUGCCAGUGCCCAGGGUGGGCACACUGGGACCAUGGGGUGGGGUGCACUGUGAGGGCGGGGCAAGCUGCCAGAGCAAACCCCGUCCACUGGAGCCAAGUGGGGCCAUGCUGUGGUGCCUGCCCAGCUGUGCAAUGGGAAGUCCUGCCGGCCAACUCACGGUGCCCUGCGAGCCCAGAACCGCUUUGCAAGAUUCACAAAAGUGGCAUGGGGCUGGCAGGGCACAUGCCUGUUGUGUCCCUCUCAUGCAACAGUUCACAAUGCCCUGCCAACCCCACGUGAGAAGCAGGCAACAGCUCACAGUGCUCUAAUUCCCCCCAUUACAUUUUACGCUACUGUUGUGCUCAAUUAUAUAUUGUAUAUUUUUUCUUGCAUUUUUGCUUUUACUUCUAUACUGCCUUGAGAAGCCCUUUUGCUCUGAAAGGCAGUAUAAAAACGUUUUAGAUAACAGCACCAUCCAAUGCUGUUCUCCAAAAUCGGCUGGAUAGGUAGCAAAAGGAUCUCUGUAAAACAAUGCCCCCGCUGCCAACUCCUUCAACAGGCCCAGAUUUAGAUUUUCUACUACAUCAACAGCUGCAGUGAUGUAAUUCUAUCAUUAUUAAUUAUGGAUUGUGGCUGAGGGUAUGACAAAGAGUGAACACUUUCUCAGACUGCAGAUUAUUCAUACACAUUGAGGUCCUUCAAAUAAAUUGGAACAGCAAAGUGAGAGGGACCACCUGCAUUUACAAGGUCCUCCCCUCUUUUGUCCAUUUUCAGAAUUGAAUAAAACAUCUCCUCUGUUUUUCUUAGAUUUUGAGAAUUUUUAUUGUCGUUUAUAGUUGGUUUUAAUCAUUGACUGUCCUGAAUGUUGCAUAAGCUCUAGUUCACAGAAUUUAUAUACUGCUUAAUUGUAAAAAAACAACCCAAAUCCUCAGAGCGGUUUACAAAAAUCAUAAAAUAACGAAUUUAUCAGAAAAAUUCAGUUAAAAUCAGCUAUUUAAAACAUUAAAAAUAAUUAAAAUCAAUGAUAAGCUAAGAACCAGAUUAAAACACACGCCAACAUGCUAAAUGUCUGGAAAGGCAAAAGGUUUUUGCAAGUGCUCAAAAGAAGAGUACAGCAAAGGUGCAGAGAGUUUCGAAGUGUGGGCGCUGCCACACUAAAAUAUUGAUUUCUUAUGGAGGGUGAUGGGGGAGGGCAAUGUUGCAAGGGUGAUUGGAGGGGGCAAUAUUGCGCAUGUUACGUCAGGACUUCACCUCCUCCUGCUGCCACCACUGGUGGGACACUCCUCUGACCCUCCUUUCCCUCCAUGGCAGCAGCAGCAGAAGGAGCUGGCUGCUAAAGCCACCCUGUUCUCGGCUCCUUGCUUCACAUCUGUGCCAAAUAUUGGGGGGGGGGAGGCAGAAGGACUCAGCCCCCAGGAGAUGGCACCCCUGGUUUCUUGCAAAUGCAGAAGAAAUAUUAUGUGGCACCUGUAACAGUACCAGUUCUGCACUAGGAGGACAGAAUACAAAUGUCUGUAUAAAUAUAGAGGAGAAGAAGAGUUUGGAUUUGAUAUCCCGCUUUAUCACUACCCGAAGGAGUCUCAAAGCGGCUAACAUUCUCCUUUCUCUUCCUCCCCCACAACAAACACUCUGUGAGGUGAGUGGGGCUGAGAGACUUCAGAGAAGUGUGACUAGCCCAAGGUCACCCAGCAGCUGCAUGUGGAGGAGCGGAGACACGAACCCGGUUCCCCAGAUUACGAGUCUACUGCUCUUAACCACUACACCACACUGGCUCUCUUCAAGCAUUUUGGAAAUGCGUACAGUAAGCACUCAAAGGGGAUGUGGCAGUAGGAAUGAGUCUGCUUCCUUUGGCCACCUUGUGACCUCCUUGACUUGAAACAUCAGAGUUCUAACGUGUGCUGGGAGCUUCCCAGGUUCUAGAAGGCUCCCUAUUUCACACAGGCACCCUCCAACUUCCAGGGGUUGAGGGGGAUGAAAGAAACAAAGAGGAGGGCCAGAGCUAUCAUACUCCGUUCCGGCACCUCUCAGGUGGGCGCCAUUGCCAUUGUAAGAGAACAAGGGAGGUGUUUGUGGUGAGUUCCAGCACCUCUUUUUCUAGAAAAAUAGCACUACUUGCCCCCACCCCCACGUGUUUACUAUACACUGUUCCAGAAUUCCUGAAGAGGGUUAUAAAUAAAUAUGAACAAGUAAAUUGUCCUUCUGCUUAAGUGGAGAGUAGUUCUCCAAAAGAAGAAAAGAAAUGGUUUGGGAAGGGAAGGAACUGUUCUAUAGAAAGUGUUGGGUUCAUUUGCUUUUACAAAGCAGCCUCGCUUAGAAAAGAGCAUUUCAUCAAAACCCAGCCUGUCUCUGGAGGCCUCGUGACAUUCUUCAGCAAUGCAGAAAGUGAAAAAUCAGAUGCCAGUCAGAAUGUGCGCGUGGAAGCCAGUUUCCAUAAUAAAGUACUUGAUCUUCUCAAAUAAAAAGCAAAAAUCCCGAUAUGUCUCUAUAGGAAUAAACUGGCAAGGAACAACAAAUAAUAUAUUACAAGAAUUGUUUUCUCCUUUAGUCUAGACAAGAGAAGGUGUGAUGACCUUUGCUGCUUCUGCCAACACCAACAGUUUACGUCGCAGCUGGAAGGACGGUCCCAGCUAACGGGGAGUCCAGUGGCUUGUCAGCCCAACAAUCCACUCGGGACAUUAUUUCAAGCUGUCCUUUGGCAUUUGGAGAUGCGAAGGCCUUUUGUGCUAGCCUUUUGUGGGUUCAUUUGUUGUGUCCAAAUGAGGAAGGCUGGCAGAAUGUGAAAAUUUAUAUAAAUGAGGGCAUUGUGUGUUCAAAAGAAGAGAGGUACGUUUGAUCUUAGCUGUUACUGAUUUACCUUUUCCUCGUGAUAACAUUCAUUAGGCAGGAUAAGGUAAUGCCGCUGAGUCCCCUUUAUAUUGUCAACAGUUAAAAUAUAGGCAUCAUAUAAGGUGUAACAUCAGUCAUGUCUCAAGGCAACAACCCCCCCCCCACCUAACCAUGAUUUGAAACUUCUUCUGCACCAGGCGUUUUCUUUGAACAUACAGUCCCUCCUCUCUGUUUCUAGAUAUUUGCGGCUUCGCUCAAAUAUACACAGCAAGAAAUGUUUACUUCGUGCCACAUCAGGGAUUCUGGAGCUUGUUUUGGUAUGCUCAGAGUCUGAGGCUAGGAUCUAGCUUGGAGAGCCACUUGGGACCACAGGUAUGGUCUAAGCCUCCUUUAAAGCCAUCCAAAUUUGUGACUAUCGCUAGCUCUUUUCCCACUACUGUCACUAGGCACUGUGUGAAGAAUUUUGUCCAUCCCGAAUCUUCCGACAUUCAGCUUCACUGGAUGUUCCCAAUAUUAUGUGAGAGGGAGAUUUUUUAAAAUUCAUUUUCUCCACAACAUUCAUAAUUCUACACAUCUCUCUCACUUCCCUCCCCAAUAUCCACCUUUCUUUAAACAAGAAAGUCCCAAAUCUUACAUCCUUUCCUUGUAGGGGAGUCACUUUAUCCCAUUGAAUAUUUUGGUUGCCCUUUUCUGAACAUUUUCUGGCUCUAGGAUCUCCUAUUUUAAGUGAGGUGACCAGAAUUGUACACAGUAUUCCUAGUGCAGUCAUUCCGUAGAUUUGUAUAAAGGAGUUUUAUUUCCAUUUUCUUUCCUAAUGGGUCCCAGCGUAGAAUUUGCCUUUAUUCACAGAUACUACAGUCUGGUCACUCACCACCAGUUCAGAUCCUAUAAGCGUCCAUGUGAAAUUAAGAUAUAUAUAUAUAUAUUGCCCAC